rnacentral:rRNA from 1 species
GGGGUGCUAUACUGCAGUCGAGCGAUGGAUUAAGAGCUUGCUCUUAUGAAGUUAGCGGCGGACGGGUGAGUAACACGUGGGUAACCUGCCCAUAAGACUGGGAUAACUCCGGGAAACCGGGGCUAAUACCGGAUAACAUUUUGAACUGCAUGGUUCGAAAUUGAAAGGCGGCUUCGGCUGUCACUUAUGGAUGGACCCGCGUCGCAUUAGCUAGUUGGUGAGGUAACGGCUCACCAAGGCAACGAUGCGUAGCCGACCUGAGAGGGUGAUCGGCCACACUGGGACUGAGACACGGCCCAGACUCCUACGGGAGGCAGCAGUAGGGAAUCUUCCGCAAUGGACGAAAGUCUGACGGAGCAACGCCGCGUGAGUGAUGAAGGCUUUCGGGUCGUAAAACUCUGUUGUUAGGGAAGAACAAGUGCUAGUUGAAUAAGCUGGCACCUUGACGGUACCUAACCAGAAAGCCACGGCUAACUACGUGCCAGCAGCCGCGGUAAUACGUAGGUGGCAAGCGUUAUCCGGAAUUAUUGGGCGUAAAGCGCGCGCAGGUGGUUUCUUAAGUCUGAUGUGAAAGCCCACGGCUCAACCGUGGAGGGUCAUUGGAAACUGGGAGACUUGAGUGCAGAAGAGGAAAGUGGAAUUCCAUGUGUAGCGGUGAAAUGCGUAGAGAUAUGG